AUGGUUGGAAGCGUUGAGGAUGUUGACACCGAGAAGAUCGAGCCGUUGCCCGAAUACUACUUCGACCCAACGGCUAGAGACAUUGUGGUUGGGAGAAAUGUGCACAGUACAUGCUUGGCCGUGACAGAGCCCGAUACUGAAGAUGAGCUCACUGGGGACAGAGAGGCUCAUAUGGCUUCUGUCUUGGCUCGCUAUAGGAAAUCCCUCCUUGAGAGGACCAAACACCACCUGGGUUACCCAUAUAACUUGGACCUCGAUUAUGGUGCUCUGGCACAACUUCAACACUUUUCCAUCAACAACCUUGGGGAUCCAUUUAUAGAGAGCAACUAUGGUGUCCAUUCCAGACAAUUUGAAGUGGGUGUUUUGGAUUGGUUUGCCCGGCUAUGGCACAGAAGGGAAUCUUCAUGGUAUCUUAGUUGGAAGGGAAGUGUUUGCAGAUGGGAUUUUGUAUGCCUAACGUGAAUCACAUUAUUCGGUCUUCAAAGCAGCAUGGAUGUACAGGAUGGAAUGCUGAGGUGGAAACUCUAAAGUUUCAAAAGAAUUUGAUUUUGAGGAUUUUAAAUCCAAGCUUCUUUGUCACAGGGACAAACCAGCCAUAAUUAAUGUUAACAUAGGAACUACUGUUAAAGGAGCUGUUGAUGAUCUUGAUCAGGUUAUACAGAAAUUGGAAGAAGCAGGAUUUACACAUGACAGGUUCUACAUCCACUGUGAUGGGGCUCUGUUUGGUCUCAUGAUGCCUUUUGUUAAACGUGCGCCAAAAGUUACUUUCAAGAAGCCUAUUGGAAGUGUAAGUGUUUCGGGUCACAAGUUUGUAGGAUGCCCAAUGCCAUGCGGUGUACAAAUAACGAGAUUGGAGCCUAUUAACGCUCUCUCCAGGGAUGUGGAGUACCUUGCUUCUAGGGAUGCAACGAUUAUGGGUAGCCGAAAUGGUCAUGCACCCAUCUUUCUCUGGUACACCUUGAACCGGAAAGGAUACAGAGGGUUCCAAAAAGAAGUUCAGAAAUGCCUUAGAAACGCACACUACUUGAAAGAUCGUUUAAUAUCUGCAGGGAUUGGUGCAAUGUUGAAUGAACUGAGUAGCACGGUCGUAUUUGAGCGCCGACAAGAUGAGGAAUUUAUUAGAAAGUGGCAGCUUGCAUGCCAGGGCAAUAUUGCUCAUGUUGUGGUAAUGCCCAACAUCACCAUAGAUAAGCUUGAUGAUUUCUUGAAUGAGCUUGUUCAGAAACGUGCUGCAUGGUUUCAAGAUGGGAAGCUUCAACCUCCUUGUAUUGCAUCAGAUGUAGGUAAAGAAAAUUGUCUUGUGCUUUGCACAAGUGAAAUAUGUGGCGCAUUUAGAACUUUGCAACUUGGAAUUUUUCUUUGUUGUAGCAGAACACUCGGCUUUAUCAGAUUAGAUGCUGAGAAACUGCCUUUUACAAUUCAACCUUUUACCUAUAUGCUUACAAAAUACUUUAAUCUAGCACUUGCAUUAAAUUAG